GUAGGUGAACCUGCGGAAGGAUCAUUAAUGAAACUUCAAAGUCGGCUUGUCUAUCUGUGCUGGUGGAGACACAUGUGCACGUUGACAGGUCGCAAAUCCACACACCUGUGCAUCUAUGACUCUGAGUACCGCUUUGCAUGGCCCUUAUCGGGCCUGGUACUCGAGUACUUUACACACUCUGAAUGUAAUGGAAUGUCUUUUUGUA
rnacentral:misc_RNA from 1 species